AUAUAUGUUGUCAAUGAUGCAUUCCUAUGUAAUAUGACAAAAGAAUAUCUUUUGUAUUAUGAUAUUAUCUUCGUCACUACCACUGAGACAACAAGUUU